GGUGAACGCUCGCGGGAGGCCUAACACAUGCAAGCCGAGCGGUAGAGUUUCUUCGGAAACUUGAGAGCGGCGCACGGGUGCGUAACACGUGUGCAACCUACCUUUAUCUGGGGGAUAGCCUUUCGAAAGGAAGAUUAAUACCCCAUAAUAUAAUGAUUGGCAUCAAUUAUUAUUGAAAACUCCGGUGGAUAGAGAUGGGCACGCGCAAGAUUAGAUAGUUGGUGAGGUAACGGCUCACCAAGUCAAUGAUCUUUAGGGGUCCUGAGAGGGAGAUCCCCCACACUGGUACUGAGACACGGACCAGACUCCUACGGGAGGCAGCAGUGAGGAAUAUUGGACAAUGGGUGAGAGCCUGAUCCAGCCAUCCCGCGUGAAGGAUGACGGUCCUAUGGAUUGUAAACUUCUUUUGUACAGGGAUAAACCUACCCUCGUGAGGGUAGCUGAAGGUACUGUACGAAUAAGCACCGGCUAACUCCGUG
rnacentral:rRNA from 1 species